AGCAGCCGCGGUAAUUCCAGCUCCAAUAGCGUAUACUAAAGUUGUUGCAGUUAAAAAGCUCGUAGUUGAAUUUCGGGAUCGAUUUAUUGGUCGUGCUAUUGUACGUACUGGUAUUAUUGAUUCCUACCUUCUGACGAACCAUGGUGUCAUUAAUUUGGUGUCAUGGGGAAUCAGGACUGUUACUUUGAAAAAAUUAGAGCGUUUAAAGCAGGCUCACGCUUGAAUACAUUAGCAUGGAAUAACGAAAUAGGACGUUUGAUUCUAUUUUGUUGGUUUCUAGGAUCGACGUAAUGAUUAAUAGGGAUAGUUGGGGGCAUUAGUAUUCAAUUGUCAGAGGUGAAAUUCUUGGAUUUAUUGAAGACUAACUACUGCGAAAGCAUUUGCCAAGGAUGUUUUCAUUAAUCAAGAACGAAAGUCAGGGGAUCGAAGACGAUCAGAUACCGUCGUAGU
rnacentral:rRNA from 1 species